ACGUGAUCUGAGUUCAGACCGGAGUAAUCCAGGUCAGUUUCUAUCUAUAAGGAGCUUUUUUUAGUACGAAAGGACCAAAAAAGCAUGGCCCAUGUCCCCGACAAACCAUCUCUACUAACUAAUGUCUCAAACUCAAUUCUUAUUUAGUCCACCUCCCUUGCUCAAAAAAAGAACA
rnacentral:rRNA from 1 species